rnacentral:rRNA from 1 species
CUCACUUAGGCGAUGAAUUAGCCGCCGCGAGUCGCCUUGUGCCAGCAGCCGCGGUAAUUCCAGCUCCAAUAGCGUAUAUUAAAGUUGUUGCGGUUAAAAAGCUCGUAGUUGGAUUUCUGCAUGGAAGGAGCGGUCCACCCUUUGGGUGAGUUACUGCUACCUUUUGUGCAUCUUUCUGAGAAGGCGUUCUUCACUUGAUUGUGAGGCCGCAUGACUCAGAACAUUUACUUUGAGGAAAUGAGAGUGUUUCAAGCAGGCAAAUGCCUUGAAUACGUUAGCAUGGAAUAAUAGCAUCGGACCAUCGUCUAGCUGUUGGUGUCUAGGCGAAGGUAAAGGUGAAUAGGGAUUGUUGGGGGCAUUCGUAUUUAACUGUCAGAGGUGAAAUUCUUGGAUUUGUUGAAGACGGACUACUGCGAAAGCAUCUGCCAAAGAUGUUCUCAUUGAUCAAGAACGAAAGUUAGGUGAUCGAAGACGAUCAGAUACCGUCCUAGUCUUAACCAUAAACUAUGCCGACUGGAGAUAGGAAGCGUUUAUAUUACGACUCUUUCUGCAUCUUGAGAGAAAUCAAAGUCUUUGGGUUCCGGGGGGAGUAUGGUCGCAAGGCUGAAACUUAAAGGAAUUGACGGAAGGGCACCACCAGGAGUGGAGCCUGCGGCUUAAUUUGACUCAACACGGGGAAACUUACCAGGUCCGGACAUAGGUAGGAUUGACAGACUGAGAGCUCUUUCUUGAUUCUAUGGGUGGUGGUGCAUGGUCGUUCUUAGUUGGUGGAGUGAUUUGUCUGGUUAAUUCCGUUAACGAACGAGACCUUAACCUGCUAAAUAGGUACGGUAACCUCUUGGUUUGCCGGUCACCUUCUUAGAGGGACGUCGCGUGUCUAACGCGAGGAAGUGUGAGGCAAUAACAGGUCUGUGAUGCCCAAGGGCGAUUCGUUAACUGCAGGACUAGUCCUU